CUUUAACCCACCCCGGGGUGAAAUGUGGCACAAGAAAUAAUGCCACAAUGGAUUAUUUUAUUCAGAGGUUAUGAGGCAGGUGCCACUGUUGAGUCCAUUUUAUAGAUGAGGAACCCCAGUAGAGGGAGGUUAAGAAAGUCAUCCCAGGUGACAAUGGCAAAGAUCUGCUGCCAGAGCCACCUCCCUAAAUGAGUAUCAGUCUCUCGCCUAUCGCCUGUCGGAUUAAUAACUGCUCCUCUACUGAAGAGAGCAGGGAAGAAGGGGCAGGAGCUCCUCUGAGCAGCCAUGGCACUCUGGGGGUUAGUGCGGACGUCUCAUCUUUUGUGGACAACAUGGAAACUCCAUUCCAGCUUCCUACCUGUGGCUAGGCAGCCUUGGGAGAAGAUGAGCUAUAGAAUGUUCCACAGCAGAAAGAGAGAAAUCAUCAGAAGAAACAACCAAGAGCAUCAACAAAUCAAUUCUAUUACCUGUCUCUUACCAGCCUGUAGUACAACCCAAAAGCCUACUGUGCGACUCAAGACAGGAAGUGGCCUGGGCUUCAGAAGGCAUUUACAGAGAAGAAAUGUUCCCAGGAAACAUAACAUCCAAGCAGCAUGCCCUGUGAUCCCAGAACAACACAAUAGUGAUUUGUCUGCCACAUUGCCUUCAGGGAAUCAGGAGGAGGAAAUGACCACUCUCUUAUUUUGAAGAAAGUUCAGCACAAGGGCAAAAUCAUCGAAAAAACUUGACCAGAUAGGCUCAAGGAAGCAGAUGUGGACAUGAGGCAGAUUUGAUUGGGAGGGACAUCAGAAAAAUAUGGAACAUGUCUGAACAGUAGGCCCAAAUGGGGCCCAGAACAGCCACUGUGGUCAGCCUGGAGCCAGCAUGAGGGCCCCAAGUACUUGAAGCAGGCGGGGAGGAGAUGGUGAGAAUGAGGGAGGAAUAUACUUCAUUUUUUUAUUGAAAUAUAUCUGAUAAAAAACAUUUAUAAAUUUAGGGUGUACAAUGUGUUGAUUUGCUACAUUUGUCUAAUAUGACUGUCAUUGUAACAAUAAUUAGCACCUCUCUCAUGUCACAUAAUUACUUCUUUUUUGUAGUGGGAAUAGUUAAUACCUAGUGUCUUAGUGAGUUCGAUGAUUCUAACAUAUGACUAUUUAUAUUCACUAUACUCUGCGCUAGAUCUCCAGGAUGUAUUUGUCUAAUAGUUUCCGGUCUGUACCCUUAAACAACUUCUCAUCUAUUUGCUACCUCCCAGACCUGGAUAACCACUAUUUUCUUCUUUGUGUUUACAAGUUUGGCUUUUUCAGAUGCCACAUAUAAGUGAUACUGUGCAGUAUUUGUCUUUCUCUGACUUACAUUUGUUAGAAUGGCUAUAAUUGAGAAGAUAAGAGAUAACAAGUGUUGGCAAUGAUAUGGAGAAAAGGGAAUUUGUGCACUGUUGUGGGAAUGUAAAUUGCUUCAGGUACCAUGGGAAACAAAAUGGAGGGUCCUCAAAAAACUAAAAAUAGUGCUGUGAUCCAGCAGUCCUUCUGCGUAUAUAUCCAAAGGAAAUAAAAACGGAAUAUCAAAGAGAUGUCUGUACCCCCGUGUUCACUGCUGCAUUAUUCAUAGUAGCCAAGACAUGGAAGAAACCUAAGGGUUCAUCAACAUGAAUAGAUAAAGAUGUGGCAUAUGUGUGCAAUGGAAU